rnacentral:rRNA from 1 species
UACGUAGGGUGCAAGCGUUAAUCGGAAUUACUGGGCGUAAAGCGUGCGCAGGCGGUUAUUUAAGUCAGGUGUGAAAGCCCUGGGCUUAACCUAGGAAUUGCGCUUGAGACUGGAUAGCUUGGAGUGCGGCAGAGGGAGGUGGAAUUCCACGUGUAGCAGUGAAAUGCGUAGAGAUGUGGAGGAACACCGAUGGCGAAGGCAGCCUCCUGGGCCAGCACAUGACG